CUAGGGUGUGCACCAGUGCGGACCAGUUGCUGGGCACCCCAACAAUUAUGACUCUUAACAUAGUCACAGAGAUGGCGAGACUAACAUCAAGGGGAGUACUGUUCCCACCAGGGGAACACAUUGAACAUCACCACCGACUUAGGGUCAAAUUAAGAAACUUUCACAAAUAGUGGAGGAAAACCUGAAGAAAGCAGGACAGCCAGUCAUGGUAAUUAGGAUGACGGUCAUCACAAAAUCUGCACUGCAGGAAAGGUUGAAAGAAGUUAAAGAUGAGAGAAGACGAUACCAGAUGGAAACUGGGAUUGACAGAAAGGAACAAAGAGUACUGGACAUGAUGGAACAUAUAUAAAAUUUUUCCCAAAUGAAAGAAGGAAGAAAUAAGGAGAAGGAAUAUAGAAAAGGAAAAAAAGAAGGAGAAGAAAUGGAUUUCAAUUUUCACAUAGGUAACAGAUUUGGUUUGUUCAAAGGAAAUUUUUCCCAGA
rnacentral:lncRNA from 13 species